AUAUAUACAUUUCUCUAUUUUAUUUCCACUUCAUUUCACUCGAAACUUUCAAGAUGACGCAUAUCUCCUUUUUCAGUUCACAUCAGCACGCUUUCCACAGCUUAUCAUCGCAUUUCAACUCGUGGUGCUGCACGGUGCUAGCGGAAAUAAAGAAAAAAAACACAAGAGACAGCUACAAGAUCAAGGUCAGACAAAGCCACAAACAAAAUUAAAUUGAGUUGCCGCAGAUGCUGGCUGAGAUCCAAGGAAGUGAAUCAAUACCGCCGGGUCUGAAGCGACUGCGAUGCUGAUGUGAGAUGAUUGGCUUGCGAAAGUUCAAUGUGCUUCUUUAGCGCGGGAGCCCGAACAGAUGCUGUGAUGUAAAGCAGGCUCUCGGGGGCCGAGGGCAAACAUCCGCUCGCUGACGCCGUGAAGCAAAGCGGCUUUAUCAAGCCACCGGCAGGCAGAUCAAUGCAGAGGCGACCUAUUCUCCCUCAUAGUGACAAAGUGGAGAUGUGCACCAAUAAAUGGGCUUUACUUUGACAUUAUACUGAGGGAAAAGCCAUUUAGACGACAGCGGCCUGACACAGGAAAGAUGUUGAGCAGAGUAAGAUGAAUUUCUUCCCCUACGAGCGGCUGUAAUGUGAAACAAACUGCGCCGAGCGGAGCUUUGACACUGACUGUGUCGAAACAGAGGAAGGAACUUUGCAGAGAUCUGCACUUCCUGUUGACGAGAACGCAGUCGCCGUGUGCUGGCUUCUCACAACACGUGAAAAACUGAUUUUACACAUAACCACAACAGCGACUGGUGUACUGUUAGUUUCUUUAAUGCAUUAAAACCCACGAGGUUUUGGUAAUAAAGUAAAAUUCAUUAGAAUGAAAAAUAAUGAUGGAUUCGGCCCGUGUCCUGUCUAGACCUUUCACAUUCGUUUCAUCAAACUAGGUCGUAAUAUUAAUCUUAGUAAUUAUCUAUCAGAUUCAUAUAUCAGAACUGUACGUUUA